rnacentral:rRNA from 1 species
AAUCAACGCUGGCGGCGUGCCUCAGACAUGCAAGUCGAACGAUUAAAGCUCUCUUCGGAGAGUGUAUAGAGUGGCGCACGGGUGAGUAACACGUAAGUAAUCUACCUUCGAGUGGGGAAUAACCCGGGGAAACCCGAGCUAAUACCGCAUAAUGCAGCGGCAUCGCAAGAUGACAGUGUUAAAGAUUUAUCGCUUGAAGAGGAGCUUGCGGCAGAUUAGCUAGUUGGUAAGGUAAUGGCUUACCAAGGCUACGAUCUGUAAACCGGUC